UACGUAGGGAGCAAGCGUUGUUCGGAUUACUGGGCGUAAAGGGCGCGUAGGCGGCGUUGUAAGUCACUUGUGAAUCUCUGAGCUUAACUCAGAACGGCCAAGUGAUACUGCAGUGCUAGAGUGCAGAAGGGGCAAUCGGAAUUCUUGGUGUAGCGGUGAAAUGCGUAGAUAUCAAGAGGAACACCUGAGGUGAAGACGGGUUGCUAGGCUGACACUGACGCUGAAGCGCGAAAGCCAGGGGAGCAAACGGG
rnacentral:rRNA from 1 species